UAUAAUUAUACAUCAUACACAAGAGAUACACAUUGCAUAGCUAAGCUAUACAAUGAGAAUAAAAAUGGCGAAAACUGAUAAAAAAGAGAUACUGUAAAGUAAUCCAAGUUUAAAAUAGCACUUGAAGUUAUGUCUGCCUUACAAUUGCAAGUUUGUACUUCUGACAAUAAACUGAAGACUAUCUAUAGUUUCUCUUGCCAAGGGAGUGCCACCAGGUAAUAUUGACAUUGAUUUCUCCUCGAGUCUUUAUGCUAUCACAGAGUUAAUGGAUAUGGAUGGAAAAUCAUUUCCUCCCUGAUAAACACAUUUUUAUAGGUAUUAAAUCACAAAACUCUCACUCUUUAAGGCAGUAGGAUUAUAAAAUUCUCAGAUUAUUUUUUGUUGUGUAAGCAAGUUCCAAGAAAGCUCCAAGAGCUCCAUAGACCUCCUCACUGUUUUCCUACUUGUCUUGAUGAGAAAAAGAAAAAAAGAAAGAAAGGAAAAAGGAAGAAAAAGAUUCUGCAAACAGGGGACUCUAAUCCGAGAAUUUUGGAAUCAUAGAUUCACAGAAUGAUCUGGGUUGGAAGGGACCUUGAAGAUCAUCUGAUUCCAACCCCCCUGCCAUGGACAGGGAUACUUCCCGUUAGACCAGGUUGCUCAAAGCCCCAUCCAGUGUGGCCUUGAACACCUCCUGGGAUGAGGCAUCCACAACUUCAGUUCCUCUUCACCCUCAUCAUGAACUUGGACAUCAAGCCAUUGACUGCAACUCUGAGUGUGACCAUCCAGCCAAUUCCUUACCCACCAAGAUGGACAUCCAUCGAAUCCAUGUCUCUCCAAAACAGAGACAAGGAUGUUGUGCGGGACAGUGUUAAAUAUUUUGCACAAGUCCAGAAGAUAGAUCUAUUCACAUAUUCCAGCAUGUAUUUGCCUUUUUCAUAACAAUAUUGUGUUGUUUACUCAUGGCCUGGCUUAAAAUCCACUGUGACCCCUAGAUCAUUUUUGUACAGCAUCAUUUUCUCACCUGAUGUCACUGCAUUACUGUACAUACCAUUCUACCACAAAGGAAGUGAUAAUGGUGCUCAGUUAUUUUCACAUUCUUUUAUAUUCUAAGCCUGAUCUUGAAUGUAAUGACAAUAAACCUGUCUGCAAAUU